rnacentral:rRNA from 1 species
CGUUGAUUACGUCCCUGCCCUUUGUACACACCGCCCGUCGCUACUACCGAUUGAAUGGCUCAGUGAGGCUUCCGGACUGGCCCAGAGAGGCUGGCAACUGCCACUCAGGGCCGGAAAGCUCUCCAAACUCGGUCAUUUAGAGGAAGUAAAAGUCGUAACAAGG